GGUCCAAUUGUGAAGUGGUUCGCACCUGCAUCUGAUGGCUGGAGACCGCAUAUGUAUACUAUGCAGGAGACGCUCAUUCGACUCGGGCUUGGACCA